rnacentral:lncRNA from 1 species
UAAAUCAUUAACGAUAGACAGUUCAAGUAUGUAAUGAGUGAAUGACAUGUCAUUUAAUGGGUGGCGUGAACACAAGGUAUAGUGAUGUGGAUUUUUGUUUUGUGAAAGUGAUUUUCGGAUAUUAGGUUUUAUAUUGAAUUGAUGGCAACCCCUGCCUCGGGUCCGAACAGGAUCAUCGCAGGUCUCCCUGGCUGGCCAAGAGUUUCGUCGGAGACGUUACCGAGACUAGAAGUGUCGUCUCCCUUCGAUGACUGCCACUCCUCGUUGUCGGCAUUCACUCCUCGUCUCCCUCUAUUUCCCAGCUUUUUUAUUUCAUCACAGGCCAUAAAAAGGCGUUGAUGUAUCUCUGUGAGCUUC